AUUGAACGCUGGCGGCAGGCCUAACACAUGCAAGUCGAGCGGAUGAAGGGAGCUUGCUCCUGGAUUCAGCGGCGGACGGGUGAGUAAUGCCUAGGAAUCUGCCUGGUAGUGGGGGAUAACGUCCGGAAACGGGCGCUAAUACCGCAUACGUCCUGAGGGAGAAAGUGGGGGAUCUUCAGACCUCACGCUAUCAGAUGAGCCUAGGUCGGAUUAGCUAGUUGGUGGGGUAAAGGCCUACCAAGGCGACGAUCCGUAACUGGUCUGAGAGGAUGAUCAGUCACACUGGAACUGAGACACGGUCCAGACGCCUACGGGAGGCAGCAGUGGGGAAUAUUGGACAAUGGGCGAAAGCCUGAUCCAGCAAUGCCGCGUGUGUGAAGAAGGUCUUCGGAUUGUAAAGCACUUUAAGUUGGGAGGAAGGGAAGUAAGUUAAUACCUUGCUGUUUUGACGUUACCAACAGAAUAAGCACCGGCUAACUUCGUG
rnacentral:rRNA from 1 species